rnacentral:rRNA from 1 species
GACGAACGCUGGCGGCGUGCUUAACACAUGCAAGUCGAACGGAAAGGCCUGCUUUCCCUUGUGGAUUGCGGGUGCUCGCGUGGCGAACGGGUGAGUAACACGUGAGUGAUCUGCCCCCAACUUGGGUAUAAGCCUGGGAAACUGGGUCUAAUUCCCGAUAGGACUGCAGGGUGGUGCCUGUGGUGGAAAACGAUUUUCUAGUGGUUGGGGAUGAGCUCGCGGCCUAUCAGCUUGUUGGUGGGGUAAUGGCCUACCAAGGCGGCGACGGGUAGCCGGCCUGAGAGGGUGGACGGCCACAUUGGGACUGGGAUACGGCCCAGACUCCUACGGGAGGCAGCAGUGGGGAAUAUUGCACAAUGGGCGGAAGCCUGAUGCAGCGACGCCGCGUGGGGGAUGACGGCCUUCGGGUUGUAAACUCCUUUCGACCGCGAGGAAGCCACCUGGUUGGAAGGGUGGUGACGGUAGUGGUAGAAGAAGCACCGGCUAACUACGUG